GAGAGAGAGAGAGAGAGAGAGAGAGAGAGAGAGAGAGAGAUAUUAUCAUCAGCCACCUUCUGAGCACCAGCCACAAGCAACGCUACGUCAACAGAGCAACCGGCACAAUUAGUUGAUAUUGUUGUGGACCCAAGUCUGCAAAACCCUGAUCAUUUCCCACAAGUCGGAUGUCCCACAACCAAUACAGAUUUGGCACAUGGAAGAAAAAAAAGAAAUGACAACCGCGCCUUGCGUCUAGCUGCACUUAAGGGUGACAGGAAAACUGCAAAGAGCUUCAUCGAUAAAGAUCGGAGCAUGCUUCAUGCUAGAUUGACAAAAUCAUGGGACAGACCGAUUCACAUAGCAGUUCAUUCAAAAUGCAUAUAUUUUGUAAAAGAACUGGUGGCAUAUGGGACUGUGGAAGAUCUAGCUAUAUAAAAUCUAAACAAAGACUCAGGCCUUAGUAUUGCUGCUGUAUCUGGAAUGGUCGAAAUUCAAAAUUAAUGAUAGAAAAGAAUAAUAAACUAACAAUGAAACGUGGUACUAGGGAAUUAAUACCUUUUGGCAUGGCAGCUGAAGUUGGACACAGAAAUGGCCGAAAAUCUCUACUCGAAAGCUGAAUUCGACUGUCUAGAUCAUUCUGAACGCAUUAGGCUGUUUCUUAUUACCCUUUCCAGCAAUCUGUAUGGUUUAGCAUUGGAGAUACUGACUAGAUAUCCAACAAUGGCUUGCGAACGAGAUGAGAAUAAUGAUGGGAAAACAGCUUUGCAUGUGUUGGCUCAAAAGGCUACACACAUUGCCGGCGGCAGUCUGCUAAAGAUCGUGGCACGAUACACCAGCUUAUACUUCAAAAACUUCUAUAAGCAAGCAUCAAUGCCAAUAUUGGAUCGUGAUUUAAUUGAAAGAAUUUGAGAGCAAGUUCUACAGCGAUCAGAUGAGGAAAUUUCGGACCUGAUAAGAAGGCCUUCAGGAGUACUUUUCGACGCUGCAAUGUUAGGAAAUGUUGAGUUUUUAGCUUUGCUUCUUCGCAAGUAUCCUGAUCUAUUAUGGGAAGUUAAUGAAAAAGAGCAAAGUGUAUUUCAUGUUGCUGUUAUGCAUCGUCACGUUCAUGUGUUUAAUUUAAUAUAACAUAGAAGCAGCUAAGGAUUACAUAGUUGGAAAUGUUGACGUUGACAGAAACAUGUUGCACUCAGCUGGAAUGUUGCCACACGCGGAAAGACUGAAGGUGUUCCUUAU